AAUAGGGUGCCUGAUAAAAGGGUUGUCUUGAUAGGACAAAUUAUGUAUUAAAACACCCCUAUUA
rnacentral:tRNA from 1 species